rfam:Schistosoma rodhaini strain Burundi genome assembly, scaffold: SROB_scaffold0019600
AUCCAGUUGACGAAUCCCAAAUAGGACGAAACGCGUCUGUUGGAU